UGGCACCCAGUGUGGCUUUGGAUACAAGGGAACAAAGUGAGAAAGAGGGUGCAUGAAAAGGGCCGAUGAUUAAAGUGAGACAAAAUCCCUCUGAUCACCGCAGGAGACUGCUGUAUCACCGUUGGGGGUAAGGUGUGCGCCCGAAAUGGGACAAGAAUUAAGUCAACAUCAACUCUAUGUAGGACAGUUGAAGGAGACUUUAAAGACACAGGGAGUAAAGGUUAAACGUGGUGACUUGUUUAAGUUUUUUGACUUUAUAAAAGAUACUUGCCCUU
rfam:Chlorocebus sabaeus isolate 1994-021 unplaced genomic scaffold Scaffold289, whole genome shotgun sequence.